AGAGUUUGAUCAUGGCUCAGAUUGAACGCUGGCGGCAGGCUUAACACAUGCAAGUCGAGCGGGGGAAGGUAGCUUGCUACUGGACCUAGCGGCGGACGGGUGAGUAAUGCUUAGGAAUCUGCCUAUUAGUGGGGGACAACAUCUCGAAAGGGAUGCUAAUACCGCAUACGUCCUACGGGAGAAAGCAGGGGAUCUUCGGACCUUGCGCUAAUAGAUGAGCCUAAGUCGGAUUAGCUAGUUGGUGGGGUAAAGGCCUACCAAGGCGACGAUCUGUAGCGGGUCUGAGAGGAUGAUCCGCCACACUGGGACUGAGACACGGCCCAGACUCCUACGGGAGGCAGCAGUGGGGAAUAUUGGACAAUGGGGGGAACCCUGAUCCAGCCAUGCCGCGUGUGUGAAGAAGGCCUUAUGGUUGUAAAGCACUUUAAGCGAGGAGGAGGCUACUCUAGUUAAUACCUAGGGAUAGUGGACGUUACUCGCAGAAUAAGCACCGGCUAACUCUGUGCCAGCAGCCGCGGUAAUACAGAGGGUGCGAGCGUUAAUCGGAUUUACUGGGCGUAAAGCGUGCGUAGGCGGCUUAUUAAGUCGGAUGUGAAAUCCCCGAGCUUAACUUGGGAAUUGCAUUCGAUACUGGUGAGCUAGAGUAUGGGAGAGGAUGGUAGAAUUCCAGGUGUAGCGGUGAAAUGCGUAGAGAUCUGGAGGAAUACCGAUGGCGAAGGCAGCCAUCUGGCCUAAUACUGACGCUGAGGUACGAAAGCAUGGGGAGCAAACAGGAUUAGAUACCCUGGUAGUCCAUGCCGUAAACGAUGUCUACUAGCCGUUGGGGCCUUUGAGGCUUUAGUGGCGCAGCUAACGCGAUAAGUAGACCGCCUGGGGAGUACGGUCGCAAGACUAAAACUCAAAUGAAUUGACGGGGGCCCGCACAAGCGGUGGAGCAUGUGGUUUAAUUCGAUGCAACGCGAAGAACCUUACCUGGCCUUGACAUACUAGAAACUUUCCAGAGAUGGAUUGGUGCCUUCGGGAAUCUAGAUACAGGUGCUGCAUGGCUGUCGUCAGCUCGUGUCGUGAGAUGUUGGGUUAAGUCCCGCAACGAGCGCAACCCUUUUCCUUACUUGCCAGCAUUUCGGAUGGGAACUUUAAGGAUACUGCCAGUGACAAACUGGAGGAAGGCGGGGACGACGUCAAGUCAUCAUGGCCCUUACGGCCAGGGCUACACACGUGCUACAAUGGUCGGUACAAAGGGUUGCUACACAGCGAUGUGAUGCUAAUCUCAAAAAGCCGAUCGUAGUCCGGAUUGGAGUCUGCAACUCGACUCCAUGAAGUCGGAAUCGCUAGUAAUCGUGGAUCAGAAUGCCACGGUGAAUACGUUCCCGGGCCUUGUACACACCGCCCGUCACACCAUGGGAGUGGGUUGCAAAAGAAGUAGGUAGCUUAACCUUCGGGAGGGCGCUUACCACUUUGUGAUUCAUGACUGGGGUGAAGUCGUAACAAGGUAACCGUAGGGGAACCUGCGGUUG
rnacentral:rRNA from 1 species